rnacentral:pre_miRNA from 1 species
AUAAAGACAAACCAUGGGUUCCCGUGCCAACGUUUGACUGUCCGUCUUAUAUGAAAUUUUUUUAUAAUUAGUAUUUUCAUUGUUGUUAGAUGAUAAAAUAUGAUUAAUACUUUAUACGUGACUUAUCUUUUUAAUUUUUUUCAUAAUUUUUUCAAAUAAGACGAACGGUCAAACGUUGGACACGGAAACCAGUGUUUGUCUUUUUU